rnacentral:rRNA from 1 species
CCGGGUGAGCUACUCCAGAACAGUCUAUGAAGAAGGACGCACCCGUCUCUGUCGCAAAAGAGUGGGAAGAUUCUUGAGUAGGGGCGAUAAACCUACCGAACCCGGUUAUAGCUGGUUGUCUGGGACAUGAAUAGAAGUUCAACCCCCCAAGUCCACAGCCCAAUAAGUGUAUAAGGACCCACACAGACUCGGGGGAGUUAAUUAAAGGGGGUACAGCUCCUUUAAUAACAAGAUACAACUUUAGAAGGUGAGUAAGGAUCAUAGCUUAAUAUAAGGCCCUGUGCCAUAGUAGGCCUGAAAGCAGCCAUCUAUACUGAUAGCGUUAAAGCUCAAGCACACUCAUCCCACUUAUACCGAUAAAUUCGUCCGAACCCCCUAACCCUACCAGACCGUUAUGUACUAGUACAUAAGAGAUUCUGCUAAUAUGAGUAAUAAGGAGCCUAAUAACGAGGGCUCCUCCUGGCACACGUGUACAGCGGAACGGACCGCCACCGCCACCUAACGAUGCCACUACAAGAGGCAACUGGGCUAGUAACUAAACAAUUAAAAAAUUACCCAGUAUACACACGUUGACCCCACACUGGAGUGCACUAAGGAAAGACUUAAUGAGGAAAAAGGAACUCGGCAAACCCAAGGCCUCGCCUGUUUACCAAAAACAUCGCCUCCCGAACAUAAAGAAUGGGAGGUCCCGCCUGCCCCGUGACACAUACGUUUAACGGCCGCGGUAUUUUAACCGUGCAAAGGUAGCGCAAUCACUUGUCUCUUAAUUGGGGACCCGUAUGAAUGGCAUAACGAGGGCCUACCUGUCUCUUUCCUCAAGUCAAUGAAAUUGAUCUUCCCGUGCAAAAGCGGGCAUAAACACACGGGACGAGAAGACCCUGUGGAGCUUGAAACAACCGAGGACUCAAGCCAAACACCUCUUUUAAGGGGACUAGCACGCUGGCCCCUCCUCAUACGUUUUCGGUUGGGGCGACCAAGGGAUACAGCGGAACUCCCACGUGGACUGGGAUACAUCCCACAGCCAAAACCCACUUGUUUAAGCACCAGAAUAUCUGACCUAUGGAUCCGGCAAAGCCGAUCGACGGACCAAGUUACCCCAGGGAUAACAGCGCAAUCCUCUCUUAGAGCCCUUAUCGACGAGAGGGUUUACGACCUCGAUGUUGGAUCGGGACUCCCUAAUGGUGCAGCCGCUAUU